rnacentral:lncRNA from 1 species
AGUUGGGGGAACUUGGCUACGAAGUUCUUCCCCACCCAGCUUAUUCUCCAGACCUUUCUCCUACCAACUACCACUUUUUCAAGCACCUUUGUGGUUUCCUGCAAGAGAAGGAGUUCAAAAAUCAAACUGAUGCUGUAAGUGCGUUCAAAGAGUUCAUCAGCUCCAGAACUUCAGACUUUUAUGUUACCGGAAUAAACAAACUUGUAACUCGUUGGCAAAAAUGUGUUGAUUGUAAUGGUACUUACUUUUGAAUAAAAUUUCCUCAUUGUUGAAAUAUAUUGUCAUGAAUUUCAUGUUUCAAAACGUUGCUUACUUUUUACUCAGCGUGAUAGUACAGAGUUGAAAAUAUUUACUGUGGAACAUAAGAAUACAUCAUACAGUGAUGAUAUUUAGCUGGGUGACCAAUAUUAUUUUAAAGGUUUUGUUCAAUCCGGGAGAGAAAUUCUAACAUGUUUUGCUGUUAUUGAACUUUCUCAGCAAAGCAUGAACUUCGCGGUACUUGCCGAAAUUGUAUUAUGAAAUUUGCCAUUUCGGAUUACUUUGCAGUUGCCUGAAUAAGCACAGCAUAUUACAAAUUAGUUAAGAAAAAAUAUUGAUUGUAAUUACUCACAAACACCAUCUACAUGAAACAUAUUGAAUGUAAUGGGCAUCAGCAAUCUAAUUAGAAUAUGAAAGAAAACGGAAGAGAAGAAUAUCUCAAUGUCUAAUAAUUUUUUAAUCAUUUUCACAAGCAGGAGAAAUAACUCCAAGCACGUUUCGGUCUUAUGAGAUACACCUUGAUGUAUAAUUAACUGCAGUUCAACUCUUGGUGAAAACCAAAAAUUUCUCGCGUGCUGGUAAAUGCAUUAUGACAGAUGGCAGGAUCUUUGGACCCUCAUUAGAGUCAGGUAAACUAGGCAAUAUUGCUUUCGACUCAUAUACUCUGUCCAUCUACACCCUGUCCGAAAUACUCUGUCCAACUAUUCAAACUGUCAAUCUCCUCAAUCAGCAUGGUACCAUUCUUUGCUCAGAGACCUCAUUUAUCUUCUGAUGCACUUUGUAUCCUACAGGAAAUUGCUUUUCAAUUACAUCACACUAUUCAUUCAGGCAAGUCUUUUUAGCUUCCUUACACAUCCGUUCAGUCAAUCCAAAUCCCAAUACUCGUUGGAUUUCCUGUUCCUGAUCAUCUGUCUUUUAUUCGUCAUUGAAAGUAUCUCCUCAGUUACCAAUUACAUAUUUUUUUCUUUUCUUUUGGCAGGAUUUCCUGGGAUGUUUCUACUAAGGUGUUUCUCAUUACUUCUCACGCAAAAUCUGCAUUCUCAAAAUUAUAUAGCAUCUUGAGAAACCGUACUCUGAGCAUCGAUAUCAAGAUGCGUAUAUUGAACUCUUAUGCCUACCCUUUUGUAUGGAAGUAUAACAUGGUCUUUAAUAUUAGAAAUAAGAAGGUGCUUGGAGAGCUGUGAAAUGUGGCUCUUAAGGAGAAUAUUGAGGAUAGCAUGAACAGAGUGUCUAAUGAAAAAGUGAUGACCUGGUCUGUGAUAAAUAGGGUACUGUUUCGUGAAAAAAGGCCAAGAAACUGAAAUUAAUUGGUCGUGUAAUGAUGAAAGAAGGCCCGGAGAAUUUAGCGAUGACCAGAAAGAUUGAAAGGAAAAAAAGCAGAGGAAGGAGAAGGAUGAUAUGGAUGUCAAACUUGACAAACUGGUUGGAAGAAAGAGACAUUAAACAUCAGGAAGUGGAACUGUUACAGAAUUCAAAGAACAUAGAAUUGUGACAGGGCAUUUUCGCCUCUCUCAUUCUGGACAUAGCACCUAAAGAGGGAAAUGCAUGAAUGUCACAACAUUAUAUAGUGCCAUCAUAAUAUUAUGCCAGUCUGAAAUUAACAGUGGUAUAAAUAAAGUCUAUAAAAAUGAAUGAAAUUACUGAUUCAAA